GAAGGUGGCGGAAUUGGUAGACGCGCUAGCUUCAUGUGUUAGUGUCCUUACGGACGUGGGGGUUCAAGUCCCCCCCCUCGCACCA
rnacentral:tRNA from 1 species